AUUGAACGCUGGCGGCAUGCCUUACACAUGCAAGUCGAACGGCAGCACGGGUGCUUGCACCUGGUGGCGAGUGGCGAACGGGUGAGUAAUACAUCGGAACAUGUCCUGUAGUGGGGGAUAGCCCGGCGAAAGCCGGAUUAAUACCGCAUACGAUCCACGGAUGAAAGCGGGGGACCUUCGGGCCUCGCGCUAUAGGGUUGGCCGAUGGCUGAUUAGCUAGUUGGUGGGGUAAAGGCCUACCAAGGCGACGAUCAGUAGCUGGUCUGAGAGGACGACCAGCCACACUGGGACUGAGACACGGCCCAGACUCCUACGGGAGGCAGCAGUGGGGAAUUUUGGACAAUGGGCGAAAGCCUGAUCCAGCAAUGCCGCGUGUGUGAAGAAGGCCUUCGGGUUGUAAAGCACUUUUGUCCGGAAAGAAAUCCUUGGCUCUAAUACAGUCGGAGGAUGACGGUACCGGAAGAAUAAGCACCGGCUAACUACGUG
rnacentral:rRNA from 1 species